rnacentral:rRNA from 1 species
UACGAAGGGUGCAAGCGUUAAUCGGAAUUACUGGGCGUAAAGGGUGCGUAGGCGGGUCUUUAAGUCAGGGGUGAAAUCCUGGAGCUCAACUCCAGAACUGCCUUUGAUACUGAGGAUCUUGAGUAUGGGAGAGGUGAGUGGAAUUUCCGGGUGUAGCGGUGAAAUGCGUAGAUAUCGGAAGGAACACCUGUGGCGAAAGCGGCUCACUGGACCAUUACUGACGCUGAGGCACGAAAGCUAGGGGAGCAAACAGGG